rnacentral:rRNA from 1 species
CCUUAAGGGGAAAGAUUUAUCGCGAAAGGAUCGGCCCGCGUCGGAUUAGAAAGGUGGUGGGGUAACGGCUCACCAAGGCGACGAUCGGUAGCUGGUAUGAGAGGAUGACCCGCCACACUGGGAAUGAGACCCAGCCCAGAAUCCUACGGGACUCUGCAGUGGGGAAUAUUAGACAAUGGGCCCAACCGAUCCAGCCAUG